UCGAGUUCCAAACCGUCGAGGGGGAAAACCCCUCGGUCGGUCGUACGUCUUUCCCGUGCACCCGUCGUAGGUCCUUUGAAAAAGGGGGCCUAUGUUCGUCUUCUCGACCUUUGAAAGUCCAUAGACUGUGGCGGUCAUGCCUUUGACAACUUUCAGCAACGGAUCUCUUGGCUCUCGCAUCGAUGAAGAACGUAGCGAAUCGCGAUAAGUAAUGUGAAUUGCAGAUUUUCCGUGAAUCAUCGAAUCUUUGAACGCAACUUGCGCUCCUUGGUAUUCCGAGGAGCAUGCCUGUCUGAGCGUCUUUGUACUCUCAAACCCGGAAUCCCGGGUUUGGAACUUGGGAGCUUGCGGGCGUCCUUCCGGUCGUCGGCUCUCCUGAAAUGCAUUAGCGAGGGAUGACACCGAACCUGGCGUGGCGCUCGACGUCGUAAGGAUCGUCGUGGGUCGCGGGUGCAGGCGAGGCGUCGUCUCGUGCUUCCAGCGUCGGCGAGCUCUUCCCAGAGCCGCCAUCGGAGGUCAGCCUC
rnacentral:rRNA from 1 species